ACUACAGAUAGCGACCUGAUAUCUACCCCGCCAGCCUUCAUGAUUGCGCUGAGGUACCCCGCCACCCAGAUAAACCUCAUUUGGCCCCAAGCCCACUGCACACACACGUGCGGUGAUGUGACUGAUUUUGUGGCGUCAGCUGAUAGUCUGAGGUGGCAAGGUGGCAUCUGUCAACAGCAGUCGGGUGUCUCCUGCAACAGUGAAAGCAUUUGUAAACAAAGUCAAGUGCCACGUAGUGAGGAGAGACAGGUACCAGCAGGAGCAGUAGUGGUAACAACAGCAGGAUGGGGAGCUUCAGCAAGAUCCUGCCAUACUCCUGCUAUGAGCUCGGCCACUGCUGGAAACACUCGUGCUCCUCAGCCUCCUUUGAAAUCUGUAUCAUUGGGUUCAUUGAAAGCAUCAAAAUCUAUGGUGUGGUGUACUUGCUAACCGGUCUUGUGAAUGCUCGGAAAAUAAGUAUGAAGUAUGGAAAAAAAGCUCUUGAAGAACUACUUAACAUCAGUUUGUUUCCUGACAGUCAAUGCUUUUGGGUACAUUGGCUCCUACUGUGUUGUCAGAAGGUGGAAUUUGAGUCGGCCAAGCUUCAGAAAUGCAGGAAGGAUUAGCGGUGAUGACUGCAGGCUGCCAUCGACCCGCAGGUCAUCACAGGAAUCAAAUGCAGCAUCAGUAUGGCUCACCAAACACUUCCCCUCACACUGGUGGUGUUGACCUGCCUUGUGAACACCUGCCCUCCUGUGUUCCUGCCCUUAAUAGCCCUCCAGGUGACAUCAGAAUGUGGAUGAGGGGACAAGAGAGCCAGUGUUCCAAGUACCACCACCAUCACCACUGCCACCACCACCACCACCACCAUCAGGAGCACAGAUUCACUGAAGACUCUACCAAGAUUUCUUUGAGUUUUUUGAUAAAUUUAACUUCCAGGAGAGAGAGAGAUGCUGAUUGUUAAAGGCAGUGUGUGAAGCCUGCCCACUGUCUUUGUAUAUACAGGUUAGGGUGUGUGUGUGUGUGUGUGUGUGUGUGUGUGUGUGUGUGUGUGUGUGUGUGUGUGUGUGUGUGUGUGUGAGUGUUUGUUUGUUUUGUAUCCUCCACACUGCUGGUCUUAAUCUAGCUUGCCAAAACUAAAUGAAGUCAUCCACAGCCACAGCCUUAUUCUUCCUUUCAUUUGUAUCUACACAGUCCUAUGAGCAGCUCCUCCUCCUCCUCCUCCUCCUCCUCCUCCUCCUCCUCCUCCUCCUCCUCC